AAAAACCUCCUGCGGGCAUGGCAGGAGCAAAAGACAACUUAGCUUAGCUUUUGGUCUCCCUGGCAUGUCAGGAAGCAUUUUGGUAGCUUUAGCUUUGACUUUUCCUUUUAGCCUUGAGUAGUUUUCCUUUCUCCGUAUGUUAGGAGAAGCAAAAACAAUGGAUACUUCCAGUAGCUUUUCUUUUCAGUCAGUAUUCCAUCGGAUCGAAUUUGUGCAUUUUCCAAUUGAUGGCUGCAGUUUCCUCUUCAAUUUUGCGUGGGAUUUGUUCACCAAAAUGAACUAAUUCCCUUUUUCUAGUCAAGGAGCAACGGAU
rnacentral:lncRNA from 1 species